GACGAACGCUGGCGGCGUGGAUUAGGCAUGCAAGUCGAACGGUAUGGACCUUUCGGGGUUCAGAGAGUGGCGAACGGGUGAGUAACACGUAGGUGAUCUACCCUCAAGACGGGGACAACCCAGGGAAACUUGGGCUAAUACCGGAUGAAAGCAGCAGCGAUGUUGUUUAAAAAGAUGGCUUUCGGGCUGUCGUUUGGGGAUGAGCCUGCGCUCUAUUAGCUAGUUGGUGAGGUAAUUGCUUACCAAGGCGAUGAUAGAUAGGCGGCCUUAACGGGUGGUCGCCCACACUGGGAUUGAGAUACGGCCCAGACUCCUACGGGAGGCAGCAGUCGAGAAUAGUCUACAAUGGUCGAAAGACUGAUAGUGCGACGCCGCGUGAACGAAGAAGCCCUUCGGGUGUAAAGUUCUUUUAUAUGUGAGCAGUGGGUUCUAUGUGAACAGCAUGGGAUCAGAGAUAUUAGCAUAUGAAUAAGCAACGGCU
rnacentral:rRNA from 1 species